UACGUAGGGUGCAAGCGUUAACCGGAAUUACUGGGCGUAAAGCGUGCGCAGGCGGUUCGGUAAGAAAGAGGUGAAAUCCCAGGGCUUAACCUUGGAACUGCAUUUUUAACUACCGGGCUAGAGUGUGUCAGAGGGAGGUGGAAUUCCGCGUGUAGCAGUGAAAUGCGUAGAUAUGCGGAGGAACACCGAUGGCGAAGGCAGCCUCCUGGGAUAACACUGACGCUCAUGUACGAAAGCGUGGGGAGCAAACA
rnacentral:rRNA from 1 species